AAGUGAUAAGUGCGCCGCCUGGGGAGUACGGCCGCAAGGCUAAAACUCAAAGGAAUUGACGGGGGCUCACACAAGCGGUGGAGCAUGUGGAUUAAUUCGAAGCAACGCGAAGAACCUUACCUGGGUUGGAAAAGCACGGAUGCCCUUGCUGAAAGGCGAGUAAGCUGCCCUUCGGGGUGAAACGUGGUUCAGGUGCUGCAUGGCUGUCGUCAGCUCGUGCUGUGAAGUGUCGGGUUAAGUCCCUUAACGAGCGAAACCCCUGUCGCUAGUUGCCAGCGGUUCGGCCGGGAACUCUAGCGAGACCGCCGGCGUUAAGCCGGAGGAAGGUGGGGACGACGUCAAGUCCUCAUGGCCUUUAUGCCCAGGGCGUCACACGUGCUACAAUGGCCGCUACAGAGCGACGCGAUACCGCGAGGUGGAGCAAAUCGCAAAAAAGCGGCCCCAGUUCGGAUUGGAGUCUGCAAUUCGACUCCAUGAAGUUGGAAUCGCUAGUAAUCGCGUAUCAGCCAUGACGCGGUGAAUAUGUUCCUGAGCCUUGUACACACCGCCCGUCAAGUCAUGGAAGCUGGGAGCACCCGAAGUCCGUUUAGCUAACCCGCAAGGGAGGCGACGGCCGACGGUGAGUUCGGUGACUGGGACUAAGUCGUAACAAGGUAGCCGUAGGGGAACCUGCGGCUGGAUCACCUCCUUU
rnacentral:rRNA from 1 species